rnacentral:rRNA from 1 species
AUUGAACGCUGGCGGAAUGCUUUACACAUGCAAGUCGAACGGCAGCACGGGGCAACCUGGUGGCGAGUGGCGAACGGGUGAGUAAUACAUCGGAACGUGCCCAAUCGUGGGGGAUAACGUAGCGAAAGUUACGCUAAUACCGCAUACGAUCUACGGAUGAAAGCGGGGGAUCGCAAGACCUCGCGCGAGUGGAGCGGCCGAUGUCAGAUUAGGUAGUUGGUGGGGUAAAGGCUCACCAAGCCAACGAUCUGUAGCUGGUCUGAGAGGACGACCAGCCACACUGGAACUGAGACACGGUCCAGACUCCUACGGGAGGCAGCAGUGGGGAAUUUUGGACAAUGGGCGCAAGCCUGAUCCAGCCAUUCCGCGUGCAGGAUGAAGGCCUUCGGUUGUAACUAGCUUUGUACGGUAACGAAACGGACGAGCUCUAAUACAGUUGCUAUGACGGUACCGUAACGAAUAAGACACCGGCUAACUACGUGCCAGCAGCCGCGGUAACG